rnacentral:rRNA from 2 species
GGAAAGAUGAAAAGAACUUUGAAAAGAGAGUUAAACAGUACGUGAAAUUGUUGAAAGGGAAACGAUUGAAGUCAGUCAUACCAACGGGAAAUCAACCUUUUGAGCUUUGUCUCGUGGGUUCGAAGAGUCUUAAACGCCUUCGGGUUCGCGAGAUUGGGAUCUUCUGGUGUACUUUCUCGUACGGUUAGUCAACAUCGGUUUUGAACGUCAUAAAAUGACUGGAGGAAUGUAGCUUCGAUCUCGUAUCGAAGUGUUAUAGCCUUUGGUAGAUGUGAUGUUUGAGACCGAGGAUUGCAACGGAUACCCUUCAUGGGCUAUUCGUCUGAUCUCUGAUACGUUGCCUUGACGUUGAAAGCUUGCUUACGAUGUUAGGGUAUUACGGUCAAAAGGUUAGAACGGACUAAAUUCGUUAAGGAUGUUGACGUAAUGACUUUAAACGACCCGUCUUGAAACACGGACCA